AUGGCAGUUUCCUAUGUUUCUAUGUUCCUAACCCCUGCUUUGAGCAACCUCUAUCUCGCAAUGCAUCUCUCUGUGGAGUCCCAGCAGGCCAGAAACAGGAGCUGUCUGGAUCUUCUGAUGGGCUACCAGGCAGAGCUGAAAUUCAUUUCCUUCCAAAAGCUCCUCUUUCCUGCCUACCUACUAUCUCUCUUCAUUAACAUCAUGACAUUCUUGCUGUUCUUGAUUUCUUUGGUGGCUGUUCCAAAAUGGGUCUUCUCGGACAUUCAGCUUGUAUCAUCUGGGCCAGGAGUUGUGAGACCCGGAGAGAAUCUCCAACUGGUUUGUAAAGUGACGGGUGUCUCCAUCUCUGAUGCAUCUUAUAGUUGGCACUGGAUCCGCCAGCCUCCAGGGAAAGCUCUAGAAUGGGUUGCAAGAAUAUACCCCUAUGAUGGCAGAAAGUAUUAUGCCCCUUCCCUGAAGAGCCGUGCAACCAUUUCUUCAGACACCUCCAAGAACGAGUUCUCUCUCCAGCUGAAUUCCCUGAUAGCUGCUGACUCGGCUGUGUAUUUCUGUGCCAGACACACAGUGAGGCAAGGUCCAUUGGAGCUCUGUAUAAAAAGAAGAACUUCAUCCUCAACGCUUGUUUUGACCACAAUUUCAGCCACCAAGUCGGAAAGCCCCUAUUAA